UACGGAGGGGGCUAGCGUUGUUCGGAAUUACUGGGCGUAAAGCGCGCGUAGGCGGACCUGCAAGUCGGGGGUGAAAGCCCGAGGCUCAACCUCGGAACUGCCUUUAAUACUGGGUAUCUCGAGUUCGAGAGAGGUGAGUGGAAUUCCGAGUGUAGAGGUGAAAUUCGUAGAUAUUCGGAGGAACACCAGUGGCGAAGGCGGCUCACUGGCUCGAUACUGACGCUGAGGUGCGAAAGCGUGGGGAGCAAACAGG
rnacentral:rRNA from 1 species